UAUUGAAGACUUAAAUGUGGUAAGACUUGCCGGUCUUCACGAGCUCUCCCUCCCUUACCAAGUCCUCGGCAACCCUCCUCUUGCAGGUC